GAAAGCACUUCUUCUAGCUCUUAAAGGGUUAAGAAGAGGGACUCCCCUCGCGCCGUCGUCGUCGCUCGGCUCGGCUUCGGCUUCGGCUUCGGCUAUCUUUUUGGACCAAAUUUAUUUAAAAUUCAAUCUUCAUUUUCUGAAAUUAUUUUUAAUAACAGGCACCAAGCCUUUCCGAACAGUCUCAAUUCAAGGCUAUAUAAACUGAGGCAAUGCCUC
rnacentral:lncRNA from 1 species